rnacentral:rRNA from 1 species
UGGGGAAUUUUCCGCAAUGGGCGCAAGCCUGACGGAGCAAUACCGCGUGAGGGAGGAAGGCUUUUGGGUUGUAAACCUCUUUUCUCAAGGAAGAAGUCCUGACGGUACUUGAGGAAUCAGCAUCGGCUAACUCCGUGCCAGCAGCCGCGGUAAUACGGAGGAUGCAAGCGUUAUUCGGAAUUAUUGGGCGUAAAGCGUCCGCAGGUGGUGCCUCAAGUCUGCUGUCAAAGACCGAAGCUCAACUUCGGGCAGGCAGUGGAAACUGAAGCACUAGAGUACGGUAGGGGUAGAGGGAAUUCCCAGUGUAGCGGUGAAAUGCGUAGAUAUUGGGAAGAACACCAGUGGCGAAGGCGCUCUACUGGGCCAUUACUGACACUCAGAGACGAAAGCUAAGGUAGCGAAUGGGAUUAGAUACCCGUGUAGUCC